rnacentral:tRNA from 1 species
AGUUAGGUAGUUUAGAAAAACAUCAACUUGUGGCGUUGAAGUCACCUGUAUAAGGUCCUGGCUA